GACGAACGCUGGCGGCGUGCCUAAUACAUGCAAGUCGAACGCAGUGGGGACGGGUGAGUAACACGUGGGUAACCUCCCAUCAGAGGGGAUAACACUUGGAAACAGGUGCUAAACCGAUACUGAUGGAUGGACCGUCGGUGCAUUAGCUAGUUGGUGAGGUAACGGCUCACCAAGGCCACGAUGCAUAGCCGACCUGAGAGGGUGAUCGGCCACACUGGGACUGAGACACGGCCCAGACUCCUACGGGAGGCAGCAGUAGGGAAUCUUCGGCAAUGGACGAAAGUCUGACCGAGCAACGCCGCGUGAGUGAAGAAGGUUUUCGGAUCGUAAAACUCUGUUGUUAGAGAAGCGGUAUUUAAAGAGAAAGCAACGGCUAACUACGUGCCAGCAGCCGCGGUAAUUC
rnacentral:rRNA from 1 species